AAGAGUUGAUUAGGCUUUCUUCAUACUGGCUAGUGCUAGAAUCUGAUUUAUGAGCAUCCUGUUGUCUUGGGCCUCUGUGGAAUUCAGCUCCUCGUGUUUCA